rnacentral:rRNA from 1 species
GGAGUUUGGACCGUGUCUCAGUUCCAAUGUGGGGGACCUUCCUCUCAGAACCCCUACUGAUCGAUGGCUCGGUGGGCCGUUACCCCGCCGACUACCUAAUCAGACGCAUCCCCAUCCCAUAGCGGUAAACCUUUGCUUCACGUUAGAUGCCUGCUGUGAAGAACAUAGGGUAUUAAUCCGAUUUUCACCGGGCUAUGCCCUACUAAGGGGAAGGUUGGAUACGCGUUACUCACCCGUGCGCCGGUCGCCAUCAGAGUUUGCAAGCAAACUCCAUGCUGCCCCUCGACUUGCAUGUGUUAAGCCUGUAGCUAGCGUUCAUC